UCUAGCACUGAAUCUUUUUUGCCUAUGACAAUGUUUACAAAAUGUCAAUGUAAAAAUAAUUUGAUGUCUGAAAAAAUUCAGUGUAAAAAAAUCUACAUCUCAAAAGAUUCACUGUAAAAAAAUUCAGUGUCUCAACAAAUUCGGAGUAAAAAAAUUCGACAUCUCAAAAGAUUCAGUGUAAAAAAAUUCAAUGUCUCAAAAAAUUCAGUGUAAAAAUAGUCACAGGCAACAUCCGGGUAACCAAGGAGAAUCAAUCGAUCCCUGUAUCAAAUCAUCCAACAUCUAGCCAAUCAAGUUUACGUUCCAUUGUUCAUGUGACGCCGAAACAGGAAGGCGGUGAAGUUCAGGUGAGCUCUGGUCAGAGCUCGGCAUGGCUCAGAACACACAUGAUGGUGCUUCGGAACUCCUGCUUAAUCAACUUUUAGAAAGACUUCGCUCGAUUGGAGCAUAUCCUGGGACGCAUGCCUCUGGAUCUGGACUUCUUAGAGUUCACUUGCACACAAGAACUUGUGUUUUUAAAUGCUGUAUCCAGUCAAGUUACUGUUUGUCCAGCUAUUUUAGAUUCACUGACACAGCUACACAGUCUUAUCAAUUUGGAAAAAGACAAAAGGGAGCAACACAUUGCAGUUGUGCAGUUUGAGCAAGGACCAGCUGGGCGACAAAGAAUGGUCAUAUCCCCAGAGUACCUUAACAAACUUCUGGAACUUAAUUUGUCUGUUCCAUGUAUAGCUAAACUUUUGGGGAUGUCCAGGCGCACAGUAUACCGACGCAUGGCUGAGUCUGAUCUCUCAGUUAAGGCAUUAUACAGCACUAUGACAGAUGAAGAGUUAGAUCAGUGUGUGAGAGAUAUUAAGUCGAGGCAGCCUCACUCUGGAUAUCGAAUGAUGAAGGCCCUUCUGCAAGCCAGAGGACUGAGGGUGCAGUAUAAUCGUGUCAGAGCCUCCAUGCACCGUGUUGACACCACUGGUGUCAUAAGUAGGAUGGUUCACGUAGGAUGUAUUGCUCGACGGACCUACUCGGUUCCAGGACCCCAGUCUUUGAUGCACAUAGAUACAAACCAUAAAUUGAUUCGCUACAACAUUGUUGUCUUUGGUGGUAUUGACGGUUUUUCCCGUAAGGUAAGCACAGUUGUUUGGACUAAGAGUACACAUUUGUGUAAUCAUAAAAUACUUGAGUGUCUCAUAGACGUGUAAUUGCAUUUGUGCUGCAGAUAAUGUAUC